UACGUAGGGUGCGAGCGUUGUCCGGAAUUACUGGGCGUAAGGAGCUCGUAGGUGGUUUGUCGCGUUGUUCGUGAAAAUCUCACGGCUUAACUGUGAGCGUGCGGGCGAUACGGGCAGACUUGAGUACUGCAGGGGAGACUGGAAUUCCUGGUGUAGCGGUGGAAUGCGCAGAUAUCAGGAGGAACACCGGUGGCGAAGGCGGGUCUCUGGGCAGUAACUGACGCUGAGGAGCGAAAGCGUGGGGGAGCGAACAGG
rnacentral:rRNA from 1 species